rnacentral:rRNA from 1 species
GACGGAGGAUGGAGGCGGUAUCCGGAAUUAUUGGGCGUAAAGCGUACGUAGGCGGCUUAUCAAGUCUGGGGUCAAAGACCACAGCUUAACUGUGGAAAGGCCUUGGAAACUGGUGAGCUGGAGUGAGGUAGGGGUUGCGGGAAUUCCCGGUGUAGCGGUGAAAUGCGUAGAUAUCGGGAAGAACACCUGAUGCGAAAGCGCGCGACUGGGCCUUAACUGACGCUGAGGUACGAAAGCUAGGGGAGCGAAUGGG